UACGUAGGCAGCAAGCGUUGUUCGGAAUUACUGGGCGUAAAGAGUGUGUAGGCGGUGCUCUAAGUUCGGUGUGAAAUCUCCCGGCUCAACUGGGAGGGUGCGCCGGAAACUGGGGUGCUGGAGCGCGGGAGAGGAAAGCGGAAUUCCUGGUGUAGCGGUGAAAUGCGUAGAUAUCGGAAGGAACACCAGUGGCGAAAGCGGCUCCCUGGUCCAGCACCGACGUCAGGCACGAAAGCGUGGGGAGCAAACAGG
rnacentral:rRNA from 1 species